rnacentral:lncRNA from 1 species
UAUAAAGCUUAGAAAAUAAUAACAAUAUUUAUCACCUGAACUAUUGUGAUUUUAACAUACUUUGAAUUAUUUUCUAAUUAGACUCCUUAAUAAAUUGUCUGGAAAAUACAGAUCCACUAAAGGGAUUGUGUCAUGGGUUCUCUGAGUUACUCAAAUCUGCUCCACAAUUUCAUAUAAACUCAACCUUCAGCGCGUACUCAGGGACCAUGCAGAUGAUGUGUGACUCCCGCCCGGCUCUCCGUCACUGAUGAGGACACUUGACAUUUCAUCAAGGAGGCAUUUGAGAACCAGAAAACACAGAACACCUCCAGAUAAUGUUUUUGCCAUCUCCCCUUACACCAACAUGGGAAAAGAAAGGCUGAAUUCGCC